UGUAUCGACCUCAAAGAAUAAACCCCCCAGAGAAUUAUGGUUUAAAUAUAUGCACUCAGCUACCACACACAUCCUGUUUCUAAAAUAAAUGGGAACCAUUCUGUCCUUCUUUAACCUAUGAAAACGUUAAAAUCAGCCAGGAUUUGUCAGAAGCCAUAAGUUUUUCAGUUACGACUAUAAAGGUUGAGAAGUGAACUGUUGUUCUACAGUUUCAUGGACUGCUCGAGGGCCCCUCUGUGCAUUUUUCUCUAGCAGGACUGUGAUUCAUACGUUCUUGCAAAAAGCAACGUAAUGUUCUCUGCUCCGUGAUGCGAGGCCCAUAUAGCCAGGAAAUACAGAUGGUGUCUUUCUGGGCUUCCUCCUUGCCUCCCAACUUUCCCGAACCGCGCUCCUAUGGAAAGGCAGGAGGGACCCCCUUCUUCACCGAUGGCAAGCUGCCUCCCUUCCCUUCACCACCUGCUGAGGCAAACAGUAGCGUCAAGUCUUACUGCAGGCUCCAGAGUCCAGACAAAGUAACAUUGACGCUCCUAGACUUCAGCUAUCAAUCCUGCAGACUCCUGGGCAAAUCUGGAGGCCAAACAAGAAAGUAACAACUCGUCCGCCGGGGAAGCCGAAAGGCGUUUUCAUUAGACGAGCAACCAGCCAGCAGCCUCGUUACCUGAUUCCGCCCGGUCAGGAAGCGCAACUGCCACCUUUCAUUACUGGCACACAGAUGGUGAUGUGAGCAAAAAUGUGCCUGGAAAACGAAGCGGCGUUCUGGAGAAUUUGGCCUUGAUUAGCUAGCGACAUUUUAAUAUAUUUUUGCCGGAAAAAUUGGCUGAAAAAAAGGAGAAGAGAUCCAAAAGAAAUGUGACCUGUAUUUUCCCUUUUUCCCUUUGAUGGGCUUAACUCAAAGUAUCUUCCUCUCCCGGCUUACCCACUCCGUCUGAUUCUGCUGUACGGUCAUAAUCGCAGGAAGAGGAAUUGCCGUCUGCUGCUCUGGAGAUGACAGUAAUGUCUCAAAUAUUUCUUUAUGACUUCCCCGAAAUAUCAAAUUGAAGGGCCGCGGGGAGAGGUGCCCCUGGUUUCGAUAAAAUAGGUUUAGCUUUUUCGCUCGUUCAAACCCUUCGUAAUGAGAUGAACCGUCGAAGAGGUUCCCAGUCAGAAAAUAUUUGAGAACUUCUCUAUCCUUUCCUCCAUUCCCCAUUGUAAUCCUCGGGUUGCAGGAAAUAAUCUUCCUAGGUGAGCCUUGAGGUGCUAUUACUCCUGCCUCCCCGUAUACUUAAUCGUCAGCCAUCCCUGACCACCUGGGACUAGCAGUACAGUGCUCUGCACACAGUAAAAGCUCAAUAAAUACGAUCGAAUGAAUGAACUCGAUUGUUCUUUCUGGAUUUAAUCAUGGAGUGCUGGGCACCUACUCAGGCCCUCAUUUGAGCAGGGAAUGUCACUGUUUAUUGUUGUAUCGUACUUUCCCAAGUGCUUAGUACAGUGUUCCGCACACAGUAAGCGCUCAGUAAAUACAACGGAAUGAAGGAAUGAAUUUGGGGUCCCGUCCACAGCCUAAUCCC
rnacentral:lncRNA from 1 species